AAUCUGCCCUUGACUCUGGGAUAAGCGUUGGAAACGACGUCUAAUACCGGAUACGACCCUUAGAGGCAUCUCUGGGGGUGGAAAGAAUUUUGGUCAGGGAUGAGCUCGCGGCCUAUCAGCUAGUUGGUGAGGUAAUGGCUCACCAAGGCGACGACGGGUAGCCGGCCUGAGAGGGUGACCGGCCACACUGGGACUGAGACACGGCCCAGACUCCUACGGGAGGCAGCAGUGGGGAAUAUUGCACAAUGGGCGAAAGCCUGAUGCAGCAACGCCGCGUGAGG
rnacentral:rRNA from 1 species